AACGAACGCUGGCGGCAUGCCUAACACAUGCAAGUCGAACGCCCUCUUCGGAGGGAGUGGCGCACGGGUGCGUAACGCGUGGGAACCUGCCCUUAGGUUCGGAAUAACUCAGAGAAAUUUGAGCUAAUACCGGAUAAUGUCUUCGGACCAAAGAUUUAUCGCCCAAGGAUGAGCCCGCGUCGGAUUAGCUAGUUGGUGAGGUAAAGGCUCACCAAGGCGACGAUCCGUAGCUGGUCUGAGAGGAUGAUCAGCCACACUGGGACUGAGACACGGCCCAGACUCCUACGGGAGGCAGCAGUGGGGAAUAUUGGACAAUGGGCGAAAGCCUGAUCCAGCAAUGCCGCGUGAGUGAUGAAGGCCUUAGGGUUGUAAAGCUCUUUUACCCGGGAUGAUAAUGACAGUACCGGGAGAAUAAGCCCCGGCUAACUCCGUGCCAGCAGCCGCGGUAAAAC
rnacentral:rRNA from 1 species